rnacentral:rRNA from 1 species
CGGAUGAGUGGAGCUUGCUCCAUGAUUCAGCGGCGGACGGGUGAGUAAUGCCUAGGAAUCUGCCUGGUAGUGGGGGACAACGUUUCGAAAGGAACGCUAAUACCGCAUACGUCCUACGGGAGAAAGCAGGGGACCUUCGGGCCUUGCGCUAUCAGAUGAGCCUAGGUCGGAUUAGCUAGUAGGUGAGGUAAUGGCUCACCUAGGCGACGAUCCGUAACUGGUCUGAGAGGAUGAUCAGUCACACUGGAACUGAGACACGGUCCAGACUCCUACGGGAGGCAGCAGUGGGGAAUAUUGGACAAUGGGCGAAAGCCUGAUCCAGCCAUGCCGCGUGUGUGAAGAAGGUCUUCGGAUUGUAAAGCACUUUAAGUUGGGAGGAAGGGCAGUAAGUUAAUACCUUGCUGUUUUGACGUUACCAACAGAAUAAGCACCGGCUAACUUCGUGCCAGCAGCCGCGGUAAUACGAAGGGUGCAAGCGUUAAUCGGAAUUACUGGGCGUAAAGCGCGCGUAGGUGGUUCAGCAAGUUGGAGGUGAAAUCCCCGGGCUCAACCUGGGAACUGCCUCCNAAACUACUGAGCUAGAGUACGGUAGAGGGUAGUGGAAUUUCCUGUGUAGCGGUGAAAUGCGUAGAUAUAGGAAGGAACACCAGUGGCGAAGGCGACUACCUGGACUGAUACUGACNCUGANGUGCGAAAGCGUGGGGAGCAAACAGGAUUAGAUACCCUGGUAGUCCACGCCGUANACGAUGUCGAC